rnacentral:rRNA from 1 species
AUUGAACGCUGGCGGCAUGCCUUACACAUGCAAGUCGAACGGCAGCACGGGUGCUUGCACCUGGUGGCGAGUGGCGAACGGGUGAGUAAUACAUCGGAACGUACCUUAUCGUGGGGGAUAACGCAGCGAAAGCUGUGCUAAUACCGCAUACGCCCUGAGGGGGAAAGCGGGGGAUCGCAAGACCUCGCGCGAUUAGAGCGGCCGAUGCCUGAUUAGCUUGUUGGUGGGGUAAAAGCCCACCAAGGCGACGAUCAGUAGCUGGUCUGAGAGGACGAUCAGCCCCACUGGGACUGAGACACGGCCCAGACUCCUACGGGAGGCAGCAGUGGGGAAUUUUGGACAAUGGGGGCAACCCUGAUCCAGCAAUGCCGCGUGAGUGAAGAAGUCCUUCGGGUUGUAAAGCUCUUUUGUCAGGGAAGAAACACCGGCUCUAACACAGUCCGGGAAUGACGGUACCUGAAGAAUAAGCACCGGCUAACUACGUGCCAGCAGCCGCGGUAA